UUAAAUUUGUAAGGGCGUAUGGUGGAUGCCUUGGCAUUAGAAGCUGAUGAAGGACGUGACUAACUACGAUAUGCUUCGGGGAGAUGUACGUAAUCUUUGAUCCGGAGAUUUCCGAAUGGGGGAACCCACUAGUGGUAAUGCACUAGUAUCACAUAAUGAAUAUAUAGUUAUGUAGAAAGCAACCCAGUGAACUGAAACAUCUUAGUAACUGGAGGAACAGAAAGAAAAAUCGAUUUCCUUAGUAGUGGCGAGCGAAAUGGAAAGAGCCCAAACCAACUUUAGAGUUGGGGUUGUAGGACCUCUCUAUAAGAGUUACAAAUUCAUAACAUAGUUGAACUUUUCUGGAAAGUUAGACGAAACAAGGUGAUAGUCCUGUAAACGAAAUGUUAUGAACUCUUUGAGGUAUCCUGAGUACAACGAGACACGAGAAAUCUUGUUGGAAUCUGCGGGGACCAUCCCGUAAGGCUAAAUACUCUCUAAUGACCGAUAGUGAACAAGUACCGUGAGGGAAAGGUGAAAAGAACCCCGGGAGGGGAGUGAAAUAGAAACUGAAACCGUAUGCUUACAAAAAGUUCGAGCACAUUAAUGUGUGAGAGCGUGCCUUUUGCAGAAUGAACCGGCGAGUUAUUGUAUUAUGCAAGGUUAAGUCGAACAGAUGGAGCCGAAGCGAAAGCGAGUCUGAAUAGGGCGCUUAAGUAUGAUGCAAUAGACCCGAAACCGAGUGAUCUAGCCAUGAGCAGGUUGAAGUUGGGGUAAGACCCAAUGGAGGACCGAACCGAUAUGCCCGGAAACGCGUACGGAUGACUUGUGGUUAGCGGAGAAAUUCCAAACGAACUCGGAGAUAGCUGGUUCUCCCCGAAAUAGGUUUAGGCCUAGCCUUGAUUGAAUCUGCCUGGAGGUAGAGCACUGAAUGUGCGAUGGCGUCGUCUAGAUGUACUGAGUACAAUCAAACUCCGAAUGCUGGGUAGUACUAAUCAGGAGUCACUGUAUGGGUGAUAACGUCCAUACGGGAGAGGAAAAGAAUCCGGAUCGCCAGCUAAGGUCCCAAAAUUUGUGUUAAGUGGGAAAGGAUGUAGAGUUGUCAAAACAGCUAGGAGGUUGGCUUAGAAGCAGCCACCCUUUAAAGAGUGCGUAAUAGCUCACUAGUCGAGUGACACUGCGCCGAAGAUGUACCGGGGCUAAACACAAUACCGAAGCUGCGGACUUGCAUGUAAGUGCAAGUGGUAGGGGAGCGUUCUAAGUGCUGAGAAGGUAGACCGUAAGGACUGCUGGAGCGCUUAGAAGUGAGAAUGCCGGUGUGAGUAACGAAAAUUGGGUGAGAAUCCCAUUCACCGUUUGACUAAGGGUUCCUGGGUAAAGUUCGUCUUCCCAGGGUAAGUCAGGACCUAAGAUGAGGCUGAAAAGCGUAGUCGAUGGACAACAGGUUGAUAUUCCUGUACCACCUAUAUGACUGAAGGAGUGACGGAGAAAGCUAGUGAGAGCCAGUUAAUGGAUUCUGGUCUAAGUGCGUAGGCUAGUAUGUUGGCAAAUCCGCAAUACUAUAACAGCUGAAACAUGAUGGGGAAGAGAGUCUUCGGACAAUCGAACUUUCAUGAUGCUAUGCUUCCAAGAAAAGCUUCUAGGGUUAAUCGUAUAGGUGCCUGUACCGACAACCGACACAGGUGGUCAAGGAGAGUAUCCUAAGGUGAGCGAGAGAACUAUGGUUAAGGAACUCGGCAAAAUGACCCCGUAACUUCGGGAGAAGGGGUGGUCUAGCGAUAGACCCGCAGUGAAUAGGCCCAGGCAACUGUUUACCAAAAACACAGGUCUCUGCUAACACGUAAGUGGAUGUAUAGGGGCUGACGCCUGCCCAGUGCUGGAAGGUUAAAGAGAUUAGUUAGUAUGACGUAAGUCGAUAAUACGAAGCUUUGAACUGAAGCCCCAGUGAACGGCGGCCGUAACUAUAACGGUCCUAAGGUAGCGAAAUUCCUUGUCAGGUAAGUUCUGACCCGC
rnacentral:rRNA from 1 species